rnacentral:misc_RNA from 1 species
ACUUGUGGUAAGAAAGGUGACCACUGGACGUCACGAUGCCCCUAUAAGGAUCUUGCUCCGCAGCCUGAAGGCUUCAUUGAUAAACCAGCAGCAGCUGAGCCUGUUGCUACUGCUGCUGCUGGAGCCACCAAGGGUGCAUAUGUGCCACCAAGCAUGCGAGCAGGUGCAGAAAGAACCGUUGGAUCAGAUAUGAGGCGCAGAAAUGAAGAGAAUUCAGUUCGUGUCACCAAUUUAUCAGAGGAUACUAGAGAGCCUGACUUGCUUGAACUGUUCCGUACAUUUGGUCCUGUUAGCCGAGUAUAUGUUGCUAUUGAUCAGAAGACUGGUGUUAGCAGGGGUUUUGGUUUUGUGAAUUUUGUAAACAAGGAAGAUGCUGAGAGGGC